GCCCGCUUGCGGGGUGGAUCAGUGGCGAACGGGUGAGUAACACGUGAGCAACCUGCCCUGGACUCUGGGAUAAGCGCUGGAAACGGCGUCUAAUACUGGAUAUGAGCCUCUAUCGCAUGGUGGGGGUUGGAAAGAUUUUUUGGUCUGGGAUGGGCUCGCGGCCUAUCAGCUUGUUGGUGAGGUAAUGGCUCACCAAGGCGUCGACGGGUAGCCGGCCUGAGAGGGUGACCGGCCACACUGGGACUGAGACACGGCCCAGACUCCUACGGGAGGCAGCAGUGGGGAAUAUUGCACAAUGGGCGGAAGCCUGAUGCAGCAACGCCGCGUGAGGGAUGACGGCCUUCGGGUUGUAAACCUCUUUUAGCAAGGAAGAAGCGAAAGUGACGGUACUUGCAGAAAAAGCGCCGGCUAACUACGUGCCAGCAGCCGCGGUAAUACGUAGGGCGCAAGCGUUAUCCGGAAUUAUUGGGCGUAAAGAGCUCGUAGGCGGUUUGUCGCGUCUGCUGUGAAAUCCCGAGGCUCAACCUCGGGCCUGCAGUGGGUACGGGCAGACUAGAGUGCGGUAGGGGAGAUUGGAAUUCCUGGUGUAGCGGUGGAAUGCGCAGAUAUCAGGAGGAACACCGAUGGCGAAGGCAGAUCUCUGGGCCGUAACUGACGCUGAGGAGCGAAAGGGUGGGGAGCAAACAGGCUUAGAUACCCUGGUAGUCCACCCCGUAAACGUUGGGAACUAGUUGUGGGGUCCUUUCCACG
rnacentral:rRNA from 1 species